rnacentral:tRNA from 2 species
GGGCGAGUGGCGGAAUAGGCAGACGCGCACGACUCAAAAUCGUGUGGGAGUAAUCCCAUGAGGGUUCGAUUCCCUCCUUGCCCACCA